rnacentral:misc_RNA from 1 species
GCCGGCCUCUUCUUUUCCUGGACAGCACUCUUCUCUAUGCUAAAUAUCAAGGAACACUUUUGGCUGCCAUAGGAAUAGAUGGGAAUGAUGGCGUUUUCCCAGUAGCCUUUGCAGUUGUAGAUGAGGAGACUAGUGACAACUGGCAGUGGUUUCUUUCAGAACUAAAAUCUGCUGUUGCAACAUCCUGUCCAAUAACUUUUGUUU